AUAGUUGGCCGAACCUCCUUGUCAAAGCCUCAUCUCGUCAGAUCUCAGAAGCGAAGCAGAACUGGGCCUGGUUGGCACUUGGGUGGGAGAUCGCUGGGAAUAUCAGGUGUCACCGUG
rnacentral:rRNA from 1 species